rnacentral:rRNA from 1 species
CAGCCGUAAACUAUGCGCGUUAGGUGUAUCGGUGACCACGAGUUACCGAGGUGCCGAAGGGAAACCGUGAAACGUGCCGCCUGGGAAGUACGGUCGCAAGGCUGAAACUUAAAGGAAUUGUCGGGGGAGCACCACAACGGGUGGAGCCUGCGGUUUAAUUGGACUCAACGCCGGGAAGCUCACCGGAUAAGACAGCGGAAUGAUUGCCGGGCUGAAGACUCUGCAUGACUAGCUGAGAGGAGGUGCAUGGCGUAGACGUCU